UGGGGAAUAUUGGACAAUGGGGGCAACCCUGAUCCAGCGAUGCCGCGUGUGUGAAGAAGGCCUGCGGGUUGUAAAGCACUUUGGUUGGGGAGGAAGGCUAUUAGUCGAAUAGGCUAAUAGAUUGACGUUACCCAAAGAACAAGCACCGGCUAACUCUGUGCCAGCAGCCGCGGUAAUACAGAGGGUGCGAGCGUUAAUCGGAAUUACUGGGCGUAAAGGGCGCGUAGGUGGGUGAACGAGUCAGAUGUGAAAGCCCUGGGCUUAACCUAGGAAUAGCAUAUGAUACUGUUUGUCUAGAGUGGGGUAGAGGGUAGCGGAAUUCCCGGUGUAGCGGUGAAAUGCGUAGAUAUCGGGAAGAACACCAGUGGCGAAGGCGGCUACCUGGGCUCACACUGACACUGAGGCGCGAAAGCGUGGGGAGCGAACAGGAUUAGAUACCCGUGUAGUCC
rnacentral:rRNA from 1 species